rnacentral:rRNA from 1 species
CCACCGGGUUGAUAGGCCGGGCGUGUAAGCGCUGUGAAGCGUUUAGCUAACCGGUACUAAUAAGUCGUGCGGCUUUUAGCU